rnacentral:rRNA from 1 species
GACGAACGCUGGCGGCGUGCUUAACACAUGCAAGUCGCACGGAAAGACCCUGCUUUUGUGGGGUGCUCGAUUGGCGAACGGGUGAGUAAGAGUUGAGUAUCCUGAACUUGACUUUGGGAUAACUUUAGGAAACUGGGACUCAUACCGGUUCGGAGCUCCUGCUGCAUGGUGGGGGUAGGAAAGUUUCGGCGGUUGGGGAUGGGCUCGCGGCUUAUCAGCUUGUUGGUGGGGUAGUGGCUUACCAAGGCUUUGACGGGUAACCGGCAUGAGAGUGUGACCGGGAACAGUGGCACAGACAUACGGCCCAGAGUCCUACGGGAUGCAGCAGUGGGGAAGAGUGCACAAUGGACCGAAGUCUGAUGCAGCAACGACGCGUGCUGGAUGAUGGCCUUCUGUUUGGAAGCCGCAAUCGCCUGGGACGAUGCGUGAUUGACGGUAAUGGGUAAAGAAGCACCGGCUAACUACGUG